GAAGUGUCCCCGUUACCGUGGCAACAGAGUCCUUGAUUGGCGGUGGCACCACAAACAUUCCCUGCUCAGACACACAUCAAAGACCCAUUUCCAGCUCACGUGGGUACGGUUCUGGCUGCGCCGCUUCCCCGUCUGUUCCAAGCACGGAAGCAGAAAGCUCCCCUCGGUUAUUUUUGGGGUGUAACUGACACUCCGUGUCCCGCGUGUCAGGGUGCAACAUACUGAUUCAACUUCCAGUGUGUUUCAGUGAAGCAAGCAGAACUUUGACAACAAAGAAAUCAGUAAAUAGAAGAGCAUCGAUUGAUCUAAUAUAUAAGUAAUGGUGGAAAUCUAACCUGGCAGUGUGCGGAAAGGAGCAUAUACUGUGACCAAGCGUUUUUUUCCAGUGGAGCAGGACUAGCCCAAUAUCAGACCUACUGAUGUAAACCACCGUUUAAUAGAACAAAAAGGAAGAACACGAUCAUCUCCACAGAUGCUGACAAAACACUGGAUGGAUUCAACGUUCAUUCUCUUUUUAAAAUGCCCCCAGUGAAACAGUGAUUGAUAAACACGUCCUUAAUGGCACGACGGUGUGUCCCAACCUGAAAGCCACGCGGUGCCACUGCCUCCCCGGGGGGUUGAGGCCCCGGAGCUGACUUGGUGUCAGUGUCAGAACCACACGAAACCCCUAGGGACGCAGCUGAA
rnacentral:lncRNA from 12 species